rnacentral:rRNA from 1 species
UACGUAGGGUGCGAGCGUUGUCCGGAAUUAUUGGGCGUAAAGGGCUCGUAGGCGGUUUGUCGCGUCGGGAGUGAAAACCAUGAGCUUAACUCAUGGCUUGCUUUCGAUACGGGCAGACUAGAGGCAUGCAGGGGAGAACGGAAUUCCUGGUGUAGCGGUGAAAUGCGCAGAUAUCAGGAGGAACACCGGUGGCGAAGGCGGGUCUCUGGGCCGAUAUUGACGCUGAGGAGCGAAAGCGUGGGGAGCGAACAGG